AAGAAAUAGUCAAUGCACUCAUAAACAUAAAAUCUGUCACAUUCAGAAUCAGGGUCACCCCCCUAGCAAUGGGGGGUUUAGCUACUCAUAAUCGAAAUAAAAACAAAGAUUAACAGUGUUGUCAUUACAGAAUUUCGUGAGGAAUCAAUCUUCAAUCGUCGGAAAACUCUUGAACAUAUGAAUCCUCUGAUAAUCGUAGAGUCUCCAGGUCUCAAACGCGUCUCUUUUUCUCUGAAAAUU
rnacentral:lncRNA from 1 species